rnacentral:piRNA from 1 species
UUGUGCUUGAUGGUCACCUGGACCUAGGUUC